rnacentral:rRNA from 1 species
AGUGAACGCUGGCGGUAGGCCUAACACAUGCAAGUCGAACGGCAGCACAGUAAGAGCUUGCUCUUACGGGUGGCGAGUGGCGGACGGGUGAGGAAUACAUCGGAAUCUACUUUUUCGUGGGGGAUAACGUAGGGAAACUUACGCUAAUACCGCAUACGACCUACGGGUGAAAGCAGGGGAUCUUCGGACCUUGCGCGAUUGAAUGAGCCGAUGUCGGAUUAGCUAGUUGGCGGGGUAAAGGCCCACCAAGGCGACGAUCCGUAGCUGGUCUGAGAGGAUGAUCAGCCACACUGGAACUGAGACACGGUCCAGACUCCUACGGGAGGCAGCAGUGGGGAAUAUUGGACAAUGGGCGAAAGCCUGACCCAGCCAUACCGCGUGGGUGAAGAAGGCCUUCGGGUUGUAAAGCCCUUUUGUUGGGAAAGAAAAGCAGCAGGUUAAUACCCCGCUGUUCUGACGGUACCCAAAGAAUAAGCACCGGCUAACUUCGUG